rnacentral:lncRNA from 1 species
CCCGGGAGCCUGAUGAGGUCUGAAGGCAGGGGAGGGCAGGUAGCUGAGAGUAGAUUCUCUGGUCUUUCACUGAGUGUGAGGCAGCUACUGCCCGUGAUUGGGCAAGGGAUGGGAGCCCUGAGAGAUUCUUGAGGUGCAGAAAUAGAGGCUUACUGAAGAUGAAAGUGGACAGGAAAGCUAAGAGAAGCUCCAAUGCUGACCAUGGCACUCUGCAAGAAGAGAAAAUCUGUAUGUAGAGGUUUCUGAGGGAAAAUCGUGAGUUCAGUUUUGGAUAUAUAUUACUUUUGAAAUCAAGUGUCCAAGUAGAUAUAUCAGUUAUGCAGUUGGAUAAUUUAUUAUAAGCCUGGAGUUCAAAAGGAAGUCCAAAAGGAGAAUUUAAAGGGAUGAGACUUGCUCAGCCCCUCCAAAGAGUGUGUGGUGAGGGAAAAGAGAAGAGGACCAGGAACAGAGGUCUGGAGCUCUCCAAUAGGAGGUGUGAUGCAAAAAGAUGAGGAAGAAACAAAGGAAGCCAAAGUGGUACCUCCAGUGAGAUAGGCUGAGAAUCAAGUGAAUGUGCUGUCCUGGAAGCCAAGUGAAGAAAGUACACUGUGAAGAAGGAAGUGAUUAUUUGUGUCAAAUGCUGCUAAUAGGCCAAUUAAAGUUGUAGUGAAAAAUGAUCAUUGGAUCUAGCAAUGUGGAGAUUAUUCGUAACUUUGACAAAAGUGGUGUCAAUAGCAUGAUCGAAAAACGGGGAGAGAGCGUGAUUGGGAUAUAUUUAAGAAACACUGAGAGGAGAGGAAUUGAAGACAGAGAGUAUGGACAACUCUUUUAAGAUGUUUUGCUGAAAAGUAGAGCAAAAAAUGGGGUGACAGCUGGCAUCAGAAGAAAAGCAAGGACAUUCUUUUUCUUAGAUCAGAAAAACAACAGCAUAUUUGUAUGCUGAUGGUAAUAAUUUACUAGCAUCAAAAUUGGUGACACAGUCAUGAUAUA